UACGGAGGGAGCUAGCGUUGUUCGGAAUUACUGGGCGUAAAGCGCACGUAGGUGGCUUUGUAAGUUAGAGGUGAAAGCCCGGGGCUCAACUCCGGAAUUGCCUUUAAGACUGCAUCGCUAGAACGUCGGAGAGGUAAGUGGAAUUCCGAGUGUAGAGGUGAAAUUCGUAGAUAUUCGGAAGAACACCAGUGGCGAAGGCGACUUACUGGACGACUGUUGACACUGAGGUGCGAAAGCGUGGGGAGCAAACAGG
rnacentral:rRNA from 1 species